rnacentral:rRNA from 1 species
UACGUAGGGACCAAGCGUUGUUCGGAUUUACUGGGCGUAAAGGGCGCGUAGGCGGCGCAAUAAGUCACUUGUGAAAUCUCCGGGCUUAACUCGGAGCGGCCAAGUGAUACUGUUGUGCUAGAGUGCAGAAGGGGCAACUGGAAUUCUCGGUGUAGCGGUGAAAUGCGUAGAUAUCGAGAGGAACACCUGCGGCGAAGGCGGGUUGCUGGGCUGACACUGACGCUGAGGCGCGAAAGCCAGGGGAGCGAACGGG